UCGGCCCUCCAGAUCCCUUCGCCGCCAGCCCCCGACCUCCUCCCCGGCUCCCGGUGUCGGCCGCCCCCAUCUCCUCCCCCGAUCCUGGCUCGUCCCGCCCCCACCUUCUCCCUCACUCCCGGCGCCUCCCGACCCCCAUCUUCUCCCUCACUCCCGGCGCCGCCCCACCCCCACCUCCUCCCUCACUCCCGGCGCCGCCCGACCCCCAACCUCCCUGGAUCCGCGUGCGUCGACGCCGGCUUCGCAGCGGCGCUUGAUGUCGAGCGCGCCGGAGUAGAGGAGCGGGCCUUCUUCCUCACCUCACAGCGCUGUCCUCCUCCACGACCACGCAGCCGCAGCGGCGGAGGACCCGAAUCCCUAGCCAGCAAGCUCAGGCAGCCAUGGAUCCAUUGGGGCGACACCAUGGAAGGGCCAACAACACCAGCAGCUAUGGACAUGCAGGCUGCUGCCCUCCCUGAUGCAUCAUGCGCGCAGGCCACAAGGAGGGAAGAACACUGCUCUGCUACUUCCUGGGUCGCCAUGGAAGGGUAAAGAGGUCAACCUCUUCCAAUACACAAUUGUUGAGGUGUUCAAAAAUCUUAGUGAGAGAGGACAUUGACGGUGCGAGAAUGGAACACAACAAGUUUUGUGUGUGUGUGUGCAUUACUGAAACGUCGCACGACAUGGUGAAAGUUAUGGAAUUUUUGCUGUAACCGCCUGGACGAAGAUGACAGGGCUAACCAGCUAACAAAGAUGCAUUCAAGUUGAAGAUUCAGAGUUGCAAGGCAGGCACAGUUAACAAGGAUAAGAAAUUGUAGAAGAUUUAUCAAAUCAGACAUGGGCUUGGUUAUGCACUGAAUCAUUGUGGGGGAUCUGAGUUUUGCUUUGUGGUGAAAGGAGGAUAGAGAGACUCAACAGGGGCCGCCCUCUUCCUCGUCCGAACAAGAUCCCCAAGAGCCUGUACCCACUUGAGAAGAGCUUGAUGAGCUGCACGGCCUCACACAUGAGGAGCAGGAGGCCCAGGGAGGAGGAGUCAUUUGUUUACAGUAGGAAGAUUGGCUUAUGACCUGGUGCAUACCUGCAUGGUAUUUUCAGUAGAGAUGAUUCAAAAUCAAAUCAGCUGUUUGUUAAGGAUGGAACUGGAACCAAACUUGGUAGUUGAAAUAAUUCUCUGUCUUAAUUCAAGGAGGACCCUAUAUCUAAAGGUAACAGAGCAGUUUAUAUCAUAAUUCCAUUGCUGGAUUUCUAGAAGAAUGAAAAAGGGAGAAAUGGUUGUUUCAUUUGGUGUGCGGAUCUGGUUUAAAGUGUGCGUGCUUAUAUCUGGAAGAUCUUGGUUGCAAAAGUAUAUCAGGAAGAUCUUGGUUGCAAAAGUGAUCAGAUAUACUCCUCUGUACCAAAAUAUAAGACAUUUUUUUCAGUUCAAUUGAAUUGCAAAAAUGUUUUGUAUUUUCGUACGGAGGGAGUAAUAGUCAACACGGCCUCAUUGGUUCUGUAAUUAAAUGCCUAUGAUCUUGCAAUUCUGAAUCAAAUAGUUUGAUUACACAAAGAAUGAUAUUUACUUUGUGUAAGAUCUUGUAAUUCUGAACCAAGUUAAUUCUGAAUCAAAUAUUUUUUCUACUAUUCUAUAUGUAAUAAAUAGAGCACAAAGAAUGAUAUUUUCUUUGUCAGCAUAUAUAGGUCUUAAGUAGCAAAUCUGGGCAUUAUACAUAGUUUUGUUUUGCUUUGGAUUUCAAUUAACUUGGAAUCGAGGGAGAAGUUAUGCUCUCUGUAAUUUUAGCCUAACAGGUAAUUCUUAUGCGUUCGAAUAUGGUAUGGUAUUUUUUUAUUUAAUUAGUUUAGCAAAGCUUAUCCUGAAGACGGACUCAAGAAACGGUGGCUUCUAAGUUAAGAAGCUCAGAAAUUGAUAGUUCAAUCUAUAGCCCUAUCGCCGAGGUAAAGAAGUACAUGCGAUCAAGGGAGGGGUACAUGGUGGCAUGGUGAGAUGCUUGGCUUAUGGAUCCGUUCAUUGGCUAGUGGAGGAGGGUUGUGUGAAUAAGUUAUAUAUAAAACUUGGGUUAGGU